AUUGAACGCUGGCGGCAUGCUUUACACAUGCAAGUCGAACGGUAACAGGCCGCAAGGUGCUGACGAGUGGCGAACGGGUGAGUAAUGCAUCGGAACGUGCCCAGUCGUGGGGGAUAACGCAGCGAAAGCUGCGCUAAUACCGCAUACGAUCUGUGGAUGAAAGCGGGGGACCGUAAGGCCUCGCGCGAUUGGAGCGGCCGAUGUCAGAUUAGGUAGUUGGUGGGGUAAAGGCUCACCAAGCCAACGAUCUGUAGCUGGUCUGAGAGGACGACCAGCCACACUGGGACUGAGACACGGCCCAGACUCCUACGGGAGGCAGCAGUGGGGAAUUUUGGACAAUGGGCGCAAGCCUGAUCCAGCAAUGCCGCGUGCAGGAAGAAGGCCUUCGGGUUGUAAACUGCUUUUGUACGGAACGAGACGGUCCUGGUUAAUACCUGGGGCUAAUGACGGUACCGUAAGAAUAAGCACCGGCUAACUACGUGCCAGCAGCCGCAGUAACAC
rnacentral:rRNA from 1 species